UACGUAGGUGGCUAGCGUUGUCCGGAUUUAUUGGGCGUAAAGAGCGUGUAGGCGGCCAUACAGGUCCGUUGUGAAAACUGGAGGCUUAACCUCCAGACGUCGAUGGAAACCGUAUGGCUAGAGUCCGGAAGAGGAGAGUGGAAUUCCUGGUGUAGCGGUGAAAUGCGCAGAUAUCAGGAAGAACACCCGUGGCGAAGGCGGCUCUCUGGGACGGUACUGACGCUGAGACGCGAAAGCGUGGGGAGCGAACAGG
rnacentral:rRNA from 1 species